UACGUAGGGUGCGAGCGUUGUCCGGAAUUAUUGGGCGUAAAGAGCUCGUAGGCGGUCUGUCGCGUCGAAUGUGAAAACCCGGGGCUCAACUCCGGGCUUGCAUUCGAUACGGGCAGGCUAGAGUUCGGUAGGGGAGUCUGGAAUUCCUGGUGUAGCGGUGAAAUGACGCAGAUAUCAGGAGGAACACCGGUGGCGAAGGCGGAUCUCUGGGCCUUACCUGACGCUCAGGCGCGAAAGCUAGGGGGAGCGAACUGG
rnacentral:rRNA from 1 species